GAUGAACGCUAGCUACAGGCUUAACACAUGCAAGUCGCGGGGCAGCAUGGGGGUUGCUUGCAAUCCCCGAUGGCGACCGGCGCACGGGUGAGUAACGCGUAUCCAACCUGCCCUUCACCACGGGAUAACCCGGCGAAAGUCGGACUAAUACCGUAUGUUGUCCAUUGACGGCAUCCGAUUUGGACGAAAGGGUUGGCGGUGAAGGAUGGGGAUGCGUCCGAUUAGCUGGACGGCGGGGUGACGGCCCACCGUGGCGACGAUCGGUAGGGGUUCUGAGAGGAAGGUCCCCCACACUGGAACUGAGACACGGUCCAGACUCCUACGGGAGGCAGCAGUGAGGAAUAUUGGUCAAUGGGCGUAAGCCUGAACCAGCCAAGUAGCGUGCAGGAUGACGGCCCUAUGGGUUGUAAACUGCUUUUAUGCGGGGAUAAAGUGGCCCACGUGUGGGUUUUUGCAGGUACCGCAUGAAUAAGGACCGGCUAAUUCCGU
rnacentral:rRNA from 1 species